rnacentral:rRNA from 1 species
GACGAACGCUGGCGGCGUGCUUAACACAUGCAGGUCGAACGGAAAGGCCUGCUUUCCCUUGUGGAUUGCGGGUACUCGAGUGGCGAACGGGUGAGUAACACGUGAGUGAUCUGCCCCCAACUUGGGUAUAAGCCUGGGAAACUGGUUCUAAUUCCCGAUAGGACUGCAGGGUGGUGCCUGUGGUGGAAAACGAUUUUCUAGUGGUUGGGGAUGAGCUCGCGGCCUAUCAGCUUGUUGGUGGGGUAAUGGCCUACCAAGGCGGCGACGGGUAGCCGGCCUGAGAGGGUGGACGGCCACAUUGGGACUGAGAUACGGCCCAGACUCCUACGGGGGGCAGCAGUGGGGAAUAUUGCACAAUGGGCGGAAGCCUGAUGCAGCGACGCCGCGUGGGGGAUGACGGCCUUCGGGUUGUAAACUCCUUUCGACCGCGAGGAAGCCACCUGGUUGGAAGGGUGGUGACGGUAGUGGUAGAAGAAGCACCGGCUAACUACGUG